rnacentral:ncRNA from 2 species
UUGCGUUAAGGAUUGAAGUGGCAUCCUUUUUUUGCUGCCACAUAUGGCAAAAAAAGAUAUAACUGAAAGCCUGACCUAUA